UACGGAGGGGGCGAGUGUUGUUCGGAAUUACUGGGCGUAAAGGGCGCGCAGGCGGCUUGGCAAGUCGAGUGUGAAAUACCUCAGCUUAACUGAGGAAUGGCGCUCGAAACUACCUCGCUAGAGGGCGGGAGAGGGAAGUGGAACUCUCGGUGUAGGGGUGAAAUGCGCAGAUAUCAGGAAGAACACCCGUGGCGAAGGCGGUUCUCUGGGACGGUACUGACGCUGAGACGCGAAAGCGUGGGGAGCGAACAGG
rnacentral:rRNA from 1 species